rnacentral:sRNA from 2 species
GCUUCUUUGACACAGUGAAGCUCAAGCCAUCUUGCUCUGCAUUGAGUCAGUGUGUGCUGCACUUCUGAAUCUGCUAUAUAGAUGUUCUUCUUUCUUCUGUAAAAUUGUGAAUUUCAUCAGUAAAAUUGAAUAAAACAGUCUGUGAGAUCAUUUCAGAGCAGAUGAAUAUCAUUUGACUAUUAUGAAGUUUAUCAACUAUACCCUCUCUCAGUCAGAAUGUAAAAUCUUUCAAGCCCAUUUCAAUCACUUUUACUCUUCAUACUCUACACUUACAACACUUCCUCUGAAACCUUUCAGACCUUUUUAUUUCCUCUCUCUCUUUCUCUUCUGUCUAUCUGACUGUUCUAAUAUCAUCAAUCCCCCAUCAUACUCUAUAUCUAUAUCUCUUCAGACUCAGCCCAUGCACUCUGUAUCAUUGAAAUCACAUUCUCUACUC